GAUGAACGCUGGCGGCGUGCCUAAUACAUGCAAGUCGAGCGAACAGAUAAGGAGCUUGCUCCUUUGACGUUAGCGGCGGACGGGUGAGUAACACGUGGGUAACCUACCUAUAAGACUGGAAUAACUCCGGGAAACCGGGGCUAAUGCCGGAUAACAUUUAGAACCGCAUGGGUCUAAAGUGAAAGAUGGUGUUGCUGUCACUUAUAGAUGGACCCGCGCCGUAUUAGCUGGUUGGUAAGGUAACGGCUUACCAAGGCAACGAUUCGUAGGCGACCUGAGAGGGUGAUAGGCCACAUUGGAACUUGGCCACGGUCCAGGCUCCUACGGGAGGCAGCAGUAGGGAAUCUUCCGCAGUGGGCGAAAGCCUUACGGAGCGACGCCGCGUGAGUGAUGAAGGUCUUCGGAUCGUAAAACUCUCUUAUGAGUGAAGAACAAAUGUGUAAGUAACUGUGCACGUCUUGACGGUACCUAAUCAGAAAGCCACGGCUAACUACGUG
rnacentral:rRNA from 1 species